ACUUUGGCAAAUACCUGAAUGAAUACAGAGGAGACUACAUACCACCAGGCUGGGUGGAGUGGGUCGGACUGGUCAAGAAUUCUAAGUUCUAUAACUACACCCUAUGUAGGAAUGGUCAGCUCAUGAGACAUGGAUUCAAUUAUCAUAGGGACUACCUACCAGAUCUCAUCGCCAAUGACAGCAUGGCAUUCUUCAAGCUUUCCAAGAGGGCGUAUCCACGGUUACCUGUUGCCAUGGUGCUGUCAUUCCCAUCCCCACAUGGACCAGAGGAUGGUGCCCCUCAGUAUCAAGACAUGUUUGUAGGGAACAAACUACAUAGAACACCAGCUUGGAACUAUGGUCCUAACGAGGAUAAACACUGGAUUAUACGCCAGGCAAGCAGGAUGACAAAGCUUGAGAGAGAUUUUACUGAUGCACUGCAGAGGAAACGACUGAUCACACUGCUUUCUGUUGAUGAUGCCAUAGAAAAGUUAUGCAGAGAAUUGGAAGCAUUAGGGGAGUUGGACAACACCUAUAUACUGAUGACAUCAGAUCAUGGGUAUCACCUGGGUCAGUUCAACAUGCUGAAAGGAAAGUCUAAUGCAUAUGAUACAGAUAUUAGAGUACCUUUCUAUAUCAGAGGUCCUGAUAUUCCACAUGGAAUCAGAGUUCCAAAUAUAGUGUUGAACAUAGACCUGGCACCUACCAUGUUGGAUAUGGCAGGGGUGAAUAUUCCACCGCACAUGGAUGGAACAUCAAUCAUGAAAUUAUUCCAACCAACAUCAAACUACAAGAUAGCCAGGAAAAGCAAGAAAUGGAAAUAUGUUGGGAGUGAGCCGUGGAGAGAGUCCUUCCUAGUGGAGAAAACGAGAUCGCCAGAAGAAAUGGGACGUUAUAUGGAACGUGUGAACAGACCCACCAAAACAGACUUGAUGAAACAGGAGUGUGAACACCCUGAUCUCCAACCACCAUGCAAAUGGGGACAGUCCAAGGUGUGUGUUGAGGAUGCAGACGGAUCUCUUCACCUGAGGAAGUGCCGCGCCAAGAGUAAGAAGAAGUGUGUCUGUACACCGCCCCCAGUGGUAACAGGAGAUGUGAAGGACAUGUCAAGGACAGAGAGGAGGCAGCAGAGGAAGAUCCUCAAGCUGCGUAGCGACUCAAACCAGGGUGGCUUCAAAUCUAGGAGUUCUCUACGAGGGAAGAGAGAGAUCGUAGGUGAACCUGAAGAAGAUGAGAUCAACAAUGAGGUGAUUGAUAACGCUGGACUUGAGACGAUGUGCGAGAUCUUACAAAAUGAGACCAUCAUCUGUGACAACGAGGUAUUUUCUUCUAGGCAGGCAUGGAGGGAGCACAGGAAAUCUGUGGAGAACCAACUCAGAUACUUGAGGCGCUACAUGGACAAACUCAAGGACAUCAAAACAUUUCUCAAGAACUACCGACCAGAUAAGGAACUCCUUGACACAUUCCCUGGUGAUAAAACGGCCUUCAGCAUUGAGCUUUCCGAAGAACUAGAGUUCCCUUCCGAUGAUGAUGAUGAAGAUAUGCCAAGAGGUCAAAUUCAAAGUACAGCACCGCCUGCUCGGGAUAGAACUGUUUCAUCAAGUGUCUUGAGAACCUUUGAAAACAUUGGACAAAAUGCGGGCUCAAACAUUCAACCAGGAGAAGAGGAAGGGGAUGAGGAGCAACGAGAGGUGGGCCCUGACAAUAACUUAGACAGGACUAGAGGGGGAACCCCCAAUAGAGGGCGCAAUAAUGGGAAUAAGGAGCCGGAUAGGGAUCAUGGAGAGGGGAUCCUUGGGGAGGAGUGCACAUGCAAGAAUGUAGAGGUGUUGGAGGCAGAAGACGAGGACUUGGAGAUUGAGAUUCCGAUGAUCGAGAUGGAGGAAUUGAGUGAUCCUGAGGAUGAGGACGAAGAUGAUGACAGUGCCAAGGAUAAUGAGGAGGAUGUGGAAGAGUACAUUGAGAGUCCAUUGCUUCAGAUGCAGAGGGAUGACCAAAACCAGGUACUGUCCAAAUCUGAGAGGAUGAAGGCCAAAGCUAGAGCCAAGAAGCUGAAGAGAAAAGACAUCAUACAGGAGAAGAAACCGUGCAAGCAGACCAGGCUCAGCUGUUUCCAUUUUGACCGUAAUCACUGGAAGACACCCCCAUUCUGGAACGAGGGUGAGAUUUGUGCAUGCCUGAACACCAUGAACAACUCGUACUACUGUGUCCGGACCAUCAACGCUACGCACAACUUCAUAUACUGUGAAUAUGUCACAAAUUUUGUAGAGUACUUUGAUAUGACAUUAGGGGCAGAUCCUUACCAGCUCGUUAACAUAGCAUACAGUCUAGAUCCUGUAUCAAAAGCAGAGCUACAUAAUCAGGUGGAUGAACUGAGGACAUGUAGGGGAAAGAAAUGUUCACCAUCGUCGAAGAGGAGAAAAGGAUCAAGAAAAAAUGGUGUAUCGCAGCCAACAUCAUUCUGGCAGACGCUACCACAGACGAGCAGGUAUCUACCGUAACGCUCGCAGACUCGCAAAGAAAACUGCUGCUCAAGCUGUUGAUGCCUAACCUAACCAAAAUGUAGAGAACUAUGGAACGGAUGGGAGGGAUAACACUUCAAUGUACAGCUUAAUACCCAACGCAGACACUGCAAUUUACAUGUACAUUUAUGUCAAGACCAACAUUAUUAUGCAUUCUACCCGUUACUUUUGUUUUUUUCUCAUCGUGGAAAUGAAAUGCAAUACACAGCUACUUUCUUGUACCCUAUAUUUUAAAUGAAUCAAAGAAGGCUCUAUUGAAAUUGUUUGCAUGUUUUGGGCAUGGUAGUUAUCUUAUUUUUCAGGUUUGUAUUUCCUUUUGAUGGCCAAGUACUUUAUUUUUUUUAAUGGCUAAGUUUCUGCUCCUGAUUUGGGAAGUGGUAUAAAAUGGAGGUAUUACUUUUAGUAACAUUUAGAGCAUUUCUUUUUCUUUUUAAUUGAACAUUUUUGUGUGCAAAACACUGAAGAAGAAAAUAAGCUACAGCUUGGUUUCAUGGGACAUUUUGACAGGGAAAAUAUACAUAUAUCAUAUUAAUAUGAUUUACAGCAUUGAUAUAUGGCAUUACACAUCUGUUAAAUCAAACACAAUAAAAGCAUGAAAUCAGUAAUUCUUAUUUAACCUGUUGAUAUUUACCACAAUGAAGUGGGAUGUGUUGUAAGAUUGUUUUUACCAAUGUGUGAAAUAUCAUGUGUAAACAUACAAUAAAUACAUACCAGGAUACUGUGUGUGGGAUGGUAGGCAAAUUAUAUUCUCACAAUCUAGAAGUUUUUAUACACCUUGUGAAUUUGAAUGUCCCACGUAAUUGUAUUGAUUUUACAAUAUAUUAAUGCCUCCAUUGACAGUCUGACCUGACCUAGCUACCUAGACAUGUCUUAUUAUUGGUAUCAAAAUGUCUCAAUAAUACUAAGAAAAAUAAAUUUUUGAUUUGGUAUAUUGUAUUCCUAUGUGCUCACAAUGCUGCCAUUACAUGUUUGAGAAUAUUUCUGUCAUGAUGGUGUGUAGAUCUUUAGUUUCAA